ACGAGGCGCGUGGCACUGAGCGCCCAGGGCCGGGCCCACAGCAGGGGCCCCCUACCUGUCUGUGUACCCUGACGCGCGUGACCCGCCCUCGUGCCAUGGCAGCCGAGACGCAGCUGAGCGCGUGAUAGUCGGACGGACGUGAUCGCACCUCGCAGACCAGACUUCAGCAGGACACUGGUCACCGAGGUAGGGUCCAUUUCAACGGUCUGGCUUAUGACAAGGCAAUGGGAUCCCAGGGAGCCUGAAUGACUCUCCCUUGCCCAGGAGUGGGCAGAAGCUCGCCCAUCCCAGUAGGAUGUCUGCUGGCAAAUUCCAGCAGAGGACUCCGUUCCCAGCCCUGCUGCUGCUUCUGGUUUAUAGGUGAGAUGGUCCUCCAUUCAAAGUCAAGUUUGUUUGCCCAGCUUGCACAUCAUGACCUUGGAAAUGCACCCUCAUCACUGUCUACUUGACAAGGACAUCCAUACGUGGUGCUCAGCUUCUCUAAUCUCCUGAUGAUGAUGGAGACGUGGAGACGUGGAGAUGACGAAGCUUGGCGAGGCCAGAAGUGUUGUCCUCACAAACCAAGGCAUAUCUAGAACACUCAUGCAGAGGGAGGCAGCUGCCGUAAUCAAUCUGCCAGUCCCUCACAGGUUGGGAACUCCAAUGGCGUCUUUGGAUAUAAGUCACCCACCUGGGUACCAAGGUGACCACUUCCUGGGCAUCCAGUCUGCUGUGUCUACUAAACGCCCACAUCCAUUCCUGGCAUUCGUCAGUUGUGCCCAGAUCAGCAGAGAUUGCCCAACAUUGUAAGUGUCCUACCCCAGGAUUGGGCUCAGCAUGGGUAUCAGUGUCCCACAGCAGGUGCUGGGACGGACUGGAGAAUCUCGGCUUUCUUCACUGCAGAGUAUGUACCCCAUCAGGGGCCCAAGACGGAUUGCAGAUGUCCCGCCCCACUCCCAACUCCGUAAGAAUUUGUUGUGCCUCCUCUACAGAUGGGCCGGAAAGUGCUGCUCAUUGGACCAAGCCUCCCUGCAGGACAGAAGAAUCGAGUCCGUUAGGAACUGAGCACCUUGACCACCUGAGCACCACACAGGUGUUUCCAGAGGGCCAGGCGGGGAGAGAUGUUGCUCAUUCUUUCUGCCUCCUGCCCGCUCACAGAAAAGCCAUCACCUCCACACUGCCACUCCCCGAAAGUCAACCAGGGGAGUGCUCUGUGGUCAGAGAGAGGUUGAAGGAUGCUCCCCCAUGAGAUGCUGCCACACUCCACAGAGUGACGUGCUUGUCAUACAGGAUUGUGCGAGACCCUCUUUAGGCCUUGUGGUGGGGCUCUACUAUAUCCCCUGUGUCAUUCUGGAUGUCAGAAGCCCUGAGGGUUAUGACAGAAUGUGACCUUGGCCAUGACAGAGACAAAGGAGCCAUCAAAGGAGGUCCCUGCUGCUUCUACAAAUACAGUGUCCAUCUCUCUACCUGCCUAAUAGGGAUAGGCUAGGUCAGCAGUCGGCUUUUAAUAUACAACAUCCCACAGUCCUGACUUUGCACCCAGAAGGAUCACCCCUAGGCUUUUUGGGAAGAACUUCAGACACCAUUCUUCUAUACAAUCAUCCUGAGUCCUGAAUGUCCAUAGCUUCCACACGGCAGUCUUCCCGGAGCCUUCAGUACCUUCCGUGCUGUCACCAUACCCAACAGCAGUAGCACCAAGGAGCGAUCCUUUCACAAGGCCACCACAACAAGUAGCUAACUGAGAUCCAUAGGACCAGUCUCCGGGUCCUCACUGAAAUGAUCUUAUGACCCUCUGGGGACGCUGACCCUGGUUUGGGAAUUACUGGUUGAGAUGAACAAAUGGGAGUGGACUUCUCAUGGUGUUAUGUACCCACCCACUAAAAUUAGGGCGGUUGGAUGCACCACAUCAUUCUCCCUCUUAACAGGGAUCAAUGGUUCACCCUCUAGAAAUAUGGGGUGCUCCUUCCCAGAACUUCUGUCUGCUGCUCUGAACAAGGAACAUGUGUCAUUUCCUGAGACCACAGCCAAAUUUCCCCUGCUCUGGGGAGGGGACCUUAGAGAAUGGUUGUGGGGGGAGGACACAGAGAUCACAUGGGGAUCACAGAUUGAGUACAAGAUGUCCCAGGUUGGGUCUCCAGUGCAGCAGUCCCUCACAUGGAAAGUAGCAUGUAGGAAAUUUAUUAGGGAGUGGUCUCAGCAUCGAGAAUCAUCAUGGGAAGGGAACAAGCUCAUGCAGAGGGAGGAGCAGAUGGUCAGCUUGGAAGCAUCUCUGUGAAGAUCUCAGCCAAUCCCAGAGACAACCUGAGGCUGGGACAAUCUCUCAGAGUGGCCUUGAGUCGUGUGAAGGAGCCUUGCUCUCAUGCCCCAUGUUCUCCAGCCUUUGGACGCACUGCUGUGGAAAAGGACAGUGAUCCUGAAUGACACGGUCAAGGCACGUUCCAAAGAGGGCUGAUGACUGAGCACUCUGCAGGUGGAAACCUCAGCCACGGGGGAGAUCAAUCCUGCAUUCUGACACAGGAGUUGGGUGGCUCAUCCCAGCAUCC